rnacentral:rRNA from 1 species
GACGAACCGUGCGAACGUUGUUCGGAAUCACUGGGCUUAAAGGGCGCGUAGGCGGGCCUCCCAGUCCGGGGUGAAAGCUUUCGGCUUAACCGGAAAAGUGCCUUGGAUACUGGAGGCCUGGAGGGGGGUAGGGGCAGCCGGAACUUCCGGUGGAGCGGUGAAAUGCGUUGAUAUCGGAAGGAACGCCGGUGGCGAAAGCGGCGUGCUGGACCUCUUCUGACGCUGAGGCGCGAAAGCCAGGGGAGCAAACGGG